rnacentral:rRNA from 1 species
GAUGAACGCUGGCGGCGUGCCUAAUACAUGCAAGUCGAGCGAACAGACGAGGAGCUUGCUCCUCUGACGUUAGCGGCGGACGGGUGAGUAACACUUGGAUAACCUACCUAUAAGACUGGGAUAACUUCGGGAAACCGGAGCUAAUACCGGAUAAUAUAUUGAACCGCAUGGUUCAAUAGUGAAAGACGGUUUUGCUGUCACUUAUAGAUGUAUCCGCGCCGCAUUAGCUAGUUGGUAAGGUAACGGCUUACCAAGGCGACGAUGCGUAGCCGACCUGAGAGAGUGAUCGGCCACACUGGAACUGAGACACGGUCCAGACUCCUACGGGAGGCAGCAGUAGGGAAUCUUCCGCAAUGGGCGAAAGCAUGACGGAGCAACGCCGCGUGGGUGAUGAAGGUCUUCGGAUCGUGAAACUCUGUUAUUAGGGAAGAACAAAUGUGUAAGUAACUAUACACGUCUUGACGGUACCUAAUCAGAAAGCCACGGCUAACUACGUG